rnacentral:rRNA from 1 species
UACGAACUGUGCAAACGUUAUUCGGAUUCACUGGGCUUAAAGGGUGCGUAGGCGGCCAUGUAAGUAGGGUGUGAAAUCCCCCGGCUUAACCGGGGAACUGCGCCCUAAACUGUAUGGCUGGAGUGAGAUAGGGGUGUGUGGAACUUCCGGUGGAGCGGUGAAAUGUGUUGAUAUCGGGAGGAACGCCGGUGGCGAAAGCGACACACUGGGUCUCAACUGACGCUGAGGCACGAAAGCCAGGGGAGCGAACGGG